CAAUAGCGUAUAUUAAAGUUGUUGCGGUUAAAAAGCUCGUAGUUGGAUUUCUGCCGAGGACGACCGGUCCGCCCUCUGGGUGAGCAUCUGGCUCGGCCUGGGCAUCUUCUUGGAGAACGUAUCUGCACUUGACUGUGUGGUGCGGUAUCCAGGACUUUUACUUUGAGGAAAUUAGAGUGUUUCAAGCAGGCAUACGCCUUGAAUACAUUAGCAUGGAAUAAUAAGAUAGGACCUCGGUUCUAUUUUGUUGGUUCUAGAGCUGAGGUAAUGAUUAAUAGGGAUAGUUGGGGGCAUUCGUAUUUAACUGUCAGAGGUGAAAUUCUUGGAUUAUCAUAUGACAAACUACUGCGAAAGCAUUUGCCAAGGAUGUUUUCUAUUGAUCAAGAACGAAAGUAAUGGGGAGUCGAAG
rnacentral:rRNA from 1 species